UCACCUGUUUUUCAAAAACAUGUCUUAAAGAUAAAAAUUUUAAGUCAAAUCUGCUCAAUGAAAUUAAACUUUUUAAUAGCUGCAGUAUAUAUAACUGUACAAAGGUAGCAUAAUAAAUUGUUUUUUAAUUAAAAACUAGAAUGAAUGAUUUAAUGAAAUAUAAACUGUCUCAAAUUAAUAUUAUAAAAUUAUUAUUUAAGUAAAAAAACUUAAAUAAAUUUUAAAGACGAGAAGACCCUAAAGAAUUUAAUUAUUUAUUUAAAUAAUAAUAAAAUAAAUUUUUAAAUUAAAUAAUUUAAUUGGGGAAAUUUUAAAAUUUAAUUAAUUUUUAAUUAAAAUUACAAUUAUUUUUGAAUAAAUAAUUUUUUUUAAAAAAAAAAAUUAAAUUACCUUAGGGAUAACAGCAUAAUUUUUUUAAAAAGUUCAAAUUUAUAUAAAAGUUUAUGACCUCGAUGUUGAAUAAGA
rnacentral:rRNA from 2 species